rnacentral:rRNA from 1 species
CCUACGGUGUGCAGCAGUGAGGAAUAUUGGUCAAUGGACGAGAGUCUGAACCAGCCAAGUAGCGUGAAGGAUGACUGCCCUAUGGGUUGUACACUUCUUUUAUAUGGGAAUAAAAUGUUCCACGUGUGGGAUUUUGUAUGUACCAUAUGAAUAAGGAUCGGCUCACUCCGUGCCAGCAGCCGCGGUCAUACGGAGGAGCCGAGCGUUAUCCGGAUUUAUUGGGUUUAAAGGGAGCGUAGGUGGAUUGGUAAGUCAGUUGUGAAAGUUUUCGGCUCAACCGGAAAAUUGCAGUUGAAACUGGCAGGCUUGAGUACAGUAGAGGUGGGCGGAAUUCGUGGUGUAGCGGUGAAAUGCUUAGAUAUCACGAAGAACUCCGGUUGCGAAGGCAGCUCACUGGACUGCAACUGACACUGAGGCUCGAAAGUGUGGGUAUCAAACAGGAUUAGAUACCCGGGUAGUC